AACGAACGCUGGCGGCAGGCCUAACACAUGCAAGUCGAACGCCCAGUAAUGGGAGUGGCGCACGGGUGCGUAACGCGUGGGAAUAUGCCCUUCACUACGGAACAACGUUUGGAAACGAACGCUAAUACCGUAUAAUGACUCCGGUCCAAAGAUUUAUCGGUGAAGGAUUAGCCCGCGUUAGAUUAGCUAGUUGGUGAGGUAAUGGCUCACCAAGGCAACGAUCUAUAGGGAGUCUGAGAGGAUGAUCCCCCACACUGGAACUGAGACACGGUCCAGACUCCUACGGGAGGCAGCAGUGAGGAAUAUUGGACAAUGGGCGCAAGCCUGAUCCAGCCAUGCCGCGUGAGUGAUGAAGGCCUUCGGGUUGUAAAGCUCUUUUAACGGUGAAGAUAAUGACGGUAGCCAUAGAAAAAGCCCCGGCUAAAUUCGUGCCAGCAGCCGCAGUAA
rnacentral:rRNA from 1 species